rnacentral:rRNA from 1 species
GUGGUAAUUCUAGAGCUAAUACAUGCUAAAAACCUCGACUUCGGAAGGGGUGUAUUUAUUAGAUAAAAAACCAAUGCCCUUCGGGGCUCCUUGGUGAAUCAUAAUAACUUAACGAAUCGCAUGGCCUUGCGCCGGCGAUGGUUCAUUCAAAUUUCUGCCCUAUCAACUUUCGAUGGUAAGAUAGAGGCUUACCAUGGUCUUAACGGGUAACGGGGAAUUAGGGUUCUAUUCCGGAGAGGGAGCCUGAGAAACGGCUACCACAUCCAAGGAAGGCAGCAGGCGCGCAAAUUACCCAAUCCCGACACGGGGAGGUAGUGACAAUAAAUACUGAUACGGGGCUCUUUUGGGUCUCGUAAUUGGAAUGAGUACAAUCUAAAUCCCUUAACGAGGAACAAUUGGAGGGCAAGUCUGGUGCCAGCAGCCGCGGUAAUUCCAGCUCCAAUAGCGUAUAUUAAAGUUGUUGCCGUUAAAAAGCUCGUAGUUGAACCUUGGGCCUGGCUGACCUGUCCUCCUAAUCGAGCGCACGGGUUCGGUCGGGCCUUUCCUUCUAGGGAACCCCAUGCCCUUCACUGGGUGUGGUGGGGAACUAGGACUUUUACCUUGAAAAAAUUAGAGUGUUCAAAGCAGGCCUUUGCUCGAAUACAUUAGCAUGGAAUAAUAGAAUAGGACAUCGGUUCUAUUUUGUUG